rnacentral:rRNA from 1 species
UGGGGAAUUUUUGGAAAUGGCGAAGCCUGAUCCAGCAAUGCCGCGUGUGUGAAGAAGGCCUUCGGGUUGUAAAGCACUUUUGUCCGGAAAGAAAUCCUUGGCUCUAAUACAGUCGGGGGAUGACGGUACCGGAAGAAUAAGCACCGGCUAACUACGUGCCAGCAGCCGCGGUAAUACGUAGGGUGCAAGCGUUAAUCGGAAUUACUGGGCGUAAAGCGUGCGCAGGCGGUUUGCUAAGACCGAUGUGAAAUCCCCGGGCUCAACCUGGGAACUGCAUUGGUGACUGGCAGGCUAGAGUAUGGCAGAGGGGGGUAGAAUUCCACGUGUAGCAGUGAAAUGCGUAGAGAUGUGGAGGAAUACCGAUGGCGAAGGCAGCCCCCUGGGCCAAUACUGACGCUCAUGCACGAAAGCGUGGGGAGCAAACAGGAUUAGAUACCCUGGUAGUCCACGCCCUAAACGAUGUCAACUAGUUGUUGGGGGAUUCAUUUCCUUAGUAACGUAGCUAACGCGUGAAGUUGACCGCCUGGGGGAGUACGGUCGCAAGAUUAAAACUUAAAUGAAUUGACGGGGUCAUAGCUGUUU